GGUUUCUCUUCCAAAGUAGUGUACAUAUAAAUGUAAUCGGUCUACAAUGUCUGGUAAUAAGCUAGGGAUUUUGGAGGCUAUAGAAUGUGCCUUUGUUGUGGUGCGAAUAAAAAGGUUCGACAUCGAGCAAUAACAAGAUAAGCAGGGCUACUACUUCCCAAUCUUCGGGGGCCCUCGACAUUUGGUGCCGAAAGCACAUAAUUCGGAUGUUGAUGUAAAGAAAAAAAAACCGUCUCGAAAGACCAAACUAUGCUACACAUCGAUUAGUAUUUGAAAUUGCACUUUUUUUAUGGAAGGAUGUUGAUGUAAAGAAAAAAAAUCCGGCUCGAAGGACCAAACUAUGCCAUAACCAUUAUUGAAUCAGCCGGAAAUAUUUUUUCAUUUAACCAAAACGAUUUUAUGGCACGACUAAAAUGUUAGCAAAAACUUCUUUUAUAAAUGCCAAAAAUUGCACAAAAUUUACCUACGCCUAUGCCCGACACCGAAGUUGAUCGGUACUCUAUGGAAUGUGACUAAGUGAAUAAAAUGACUAAUACUC